rfam:Schistosoma mansoni strain Puerto Rico chromosome W, complete genome
GCUGAGGAGUCCCACAAUAGGACGAAACGGCCUUCC